GACGAACGCUGGCGGCGUGCUUAACACAUGCAAGUCGAACGGAAAGGCCUCAUUCGGGGGGUACUCGAGUGGCGAACGGGUGAGUAACACCUGAGUAACCCGCCCUUGACUUUUGGUUAACUUCAGGAAACUUGGGCCAAUACCGGAUAGGAGCUCCUGCUGCAUUGUGGGGGUUGGGAAGUUUCGGCGGUUGGGGGUGGAUUCGCGGCUUAUCAGCUUGUUGGGGGGGUAAUGGCUUACCAAUGCUUUGUCGGGUAGCCGGCCAGUGAGGGUGACCGGCCGCACUGGGACCGAGGGGAGGCCCAGGCUCGGAAGGGUGGCAGCAGGGGGGAAGCUUGCACAAGCGGUGGAGGGCGGGUGAAGCAAGGCUGUGGGCUGGAAGACGGUCUUGGGGGUGAAAAACAGUUUCGGGCUAGACGAAGCUUUGUGUGACGGUAGUGGGUAAAGAAGCACCGGCUAACUACGUG
rnacentral:rRNA from 1 species